GUGCCAGCAGCCGCGGUAAUACGUAGGUGGCAAGCGUUGUCCGGAUUUAUUGGGCGUAAAGCGAGCGCAGGCGGUUUUGUAAGUCUGCUGUGAAAGCCCUCAGCUCAACUGAGGAAGUGCAGUGGAAACUACAAAACUUGAGUACAGAAGAGGAAAGUGGAACUCCAUGUGUAGCGGUGAAAUGCGUAGAUAUAUGGAAGAACACCAGUGGCGAAGGCGGCCUUCUGGACAGAUACUGACGCUGAGAUGCGAAAGCGUGGGGAGCAAACAGGAUUAGAUACCCUGGUAGUCCAUGCCGUAAACGAUGAAUACUAGGUGUUGGAGGGUUUCCGCCCUUCAGUGCCGCAGCUAACGCAUUAAGUAUUCCGCCUGGGGAGUACGACCGCAAGGUUGAAACUCAAAGGAAUUGACGGGGGCCCGCACAAGUGGUGGAGCAUGUGGUUUAA
rnacentral:rRNA from 1 species